rnacentral:tRNA from 1 species
GCAAUUAUAGCUUAAGAAAAGCAUCGGUCUUGUAAGCCGAAGAUGGGAAGACAUUACCCUUAUUGCU